UUCUAAUUCUUUUCUUGUGAGAGAAAUCAAAACUCUCUUUUUCUCGCUUCUUCUUCUUCUUCUUCUUCUCCUUCUUACGCACCACUACUCUUCUCAACAACGCUUCUUUUCAUUCUUCUUCUCUUCUCGAGCCAAUUAUGUCUUUAUACAGAGACUCUGUGAAUUCUAAUGAUGAUCCAUGUUUGAAAUAAAGGUCGCUGGAGUUAGGGUGAUCGGAGCCGGAAAGCAUAUAUCAUCGGUUCAUUGAUUGAAUGAUCAUCUCCUCUAUCGUCUUCUCUCUAAAUCAAAGAUCGAUUUCAGUUCGCCCUAAAUCCACCGGAUAAUGAUCUAGCCACCGAAGUGCUUUCACCGAUGGAGAGAGCUCCCAAGAACGAUGGGCUCAAAUAUGACUUUGGAAUGGGCUUUCUUUUUUGUAUCGGGCCUUCUUUGCUACAAAUCCAACAAGUCCACAAUGUCGCGACACGCCGACACCUUCUAAGAUCGAUGAUCAUUAAUGGGUUCAAGAUCCCUUCUAAUAUAAUGAAGAAAAUUAAACAUCAAAUCCAAAGUGGAAUCAAAAAGUUAAUUGGUUGGCUCUACAAGAAGGCUAAAUAUAUGGAUGUUGCUCAUAUGAAGAUAAAGAUGACAAAGUUAAUUUGUAAAGAUGAGAAAAUGAGAGACAGUCUUUCGUGGACGCUAAAGACUAAAUCAUUAGAAGCGAGGCGCUACUACGUACAUAGUCGGUAGGAACAAAAAAAACAUACAAUUGGAUAAUGUUUUCUUAGUAGGUAACUCAUAGAAAAAAUAUUUAUGUACACACAAACAUAUAAAAAUUAUGAUUUUUUGUAUACUUUCCUUAGCAACUUAACGCUUAAACGCAAAGCCUGAUUCAUGUUACAGUAGCAUGCAGGUCCCACAGAGUCACGAGAUUCUGAUUUUUUUUUUUUUUUUUUUCAUUAUCGAUUACACAACACUGAGAAAGCAAUCUUAUUAUUAUGCUAAUCCCGUCGCUUAUACUACCCUUUUUUCUUUUCUUUUUGUCGUCAUACUAUUUUUUAUUCAUUGUUAAACCUAUUUUACAUUCAUAAUGCUCAUUAUAUUCAUAAAGAGAUAUGCUCAUUGCAUUCUUAAAGAGAUAUCAAAAACAGAAAAUGAAAAAAUAUUUAGUUUUAGUUCAUCUUUCGAGCAAAAACCAAAAGAGUGACACUCAUGGGCUUGCUCGCGCGCUCGCUUCAGUUUCAUUUGUCGGUAGUGCUGCCACACGCACAAAUGACAUUAUUCAGUUCUCAUUAAAUUAGUUUUUUUUUUUUUUGUAAUCCACGAUUGCAAAAUAAUUCCCUAAUACACAAUUUCAGAUUUUAGUCGAAAUUUUGCUUGUGUAAUAAGCUUAACUUAUUCUGAUAUAUCUAUUGUUAUGUAUUCAAAUUUGGACAUUCUUAAUUCCAUUUUCGACUAAUUUUCCAAUGAAUUAUAUAAGCUUUUCUAACAUAGCUAACGGACUUUAGUUUAUUUAUAUAAAACCUCAAUAUUGAUACUUUUAAAGUUUUUACUUUGAUCCUGCUAGUAAAUUCUAAUCUACAUGUGUGAGUUACUGUAAACA